UUCAAUCCGACCCUUAAUGGGCCGGAUUCUACAAUCUGUUUGCUAUUUUCGGCCCAAUUAGAUCUAGGGUUUGCCUAUAAAUACUGCAUCAUCUCACGCACAGCUUCUUGAUUCUACUGUCUCCUUCCGCCGUUCGUCUGCUUGGGGACGAGCAUUUGACAGGGAGCACUCAACCUUUUUCGCGGCGUCGCCAUGAGAGCUAAGUGGAAGAAGAAGAGAAUGAGGAGGUUGAAGAGGAAGCGCCGAAAGAUGAGGCAGAGAUCGAAGUAGUGGCCGUUAUCUGAGGGAUGUUUUCCGACCUAUGGUUUUGGUUACUGCUUAGAUUGCUUUAUGUUAUUCUAGUUUUGAUUGCGUAACCGCUUUGAAUUUUUUUUUAUGAUCGAUACAUUUAGUUGUCUUUAAUCGAGAACUUGUUUUCCAGCUUAACUGUUUUAAUUGAGUGAUUUGAUAUGCUA